rnacentral:rRNA from 1 species
UAAGGAAUAUUGGACAAUGGUCGCAAGACUGAUCCAGCCAUGCCGCGUGCAGGAAGACGGCCCUAUGGGUUGUAAACUGCUUUUGUACCAGAGAAAACCUAUCUACGUGUAGAUAGCUGAUAGUAUGGUAAGAAUAAGCAUCGGCUAACUUCGUGCCAGCAGCCGCGGUAAGACGAAGGAUGCAAGCGUUAUCCGGAUUCAUUGGGUUUAAAGGGUGCGUAGGCGGGCUUGUAAGUCAGUGGUGAAAUCUCUCAGCUUAACUGGGAAACUGCCAUUGAUACUGCAGGCCUAGAGUAUAGAUGACGUUGGCGGAAUAUGACAGGUAGUGGUGAAAUACUUAGAUAUGUCAUAGAACACCGAUUGCGAAGGCAGCUAACGAAACUAUAACUGACGCUGAGGCACGAAAGUGCGGGGAUCAAACA